rnacentral:misc_RNA from 1 species
GGAAAGGACAGGUGCAGCAGUCAUGUUCUCCGCCAGAGAACGAGGUGGUGGGCUGUGGAAGUGCAGCCAGCAGCGGAUGCGGUGAAAUGUCGGAUAAGGCAUGCUCGUAUGCGUCGAUGUUUCUGACGAAGUUGGCUCUGGCCAGGCACAGUACUGACAACGUGAGCGUGGUCGUGGUGGAUCUAAGGAAAGGCACGUAGCCAUGAACUUUUUUAAUUUUUAUUUUUCUUAAAAUGCUUGGUUAGAGGUGGGGAGGGGGAGGGGGGAAUUUUUCGGAUGAUGAGAAGGGUUUUGGAGAUGAAUGCAAAUAGUGUAACGAAAUGGGGGAUGGAAAUGAAAUUUGGAGUGAACCAAAAAGGGUGUAAAAAAAAAGGUCGCCGUUGUAUUUGUCCGCCUUGAAGUGAAAUCAGCUUUGGCGCUAUAUAGUAAAAAAGUAAGUGGAUAUAAUUUUCUUUUGUUUAAUUUUAUUACUCUGUUAAUUUUCUUUGUGGAGAUUUUUCAGGCAAUUUGUAUGAUAAAUUAUUCGGUAAUUUGCACCUGG